AAUGGCUUCGAAUAUUUCCAGGGGGUGGAAGCUAAGACUGAUAAAAGCAAGCAAAUUAUUUACAGUUUGCUUUUGUUGGCCUCUGCUGCCGGGUCCUGGAUUCCACUGUGCCAGGGGC
rnacentral:precursor_RNA from 7 species